rnacentral:rRNA from 1 species
AUUGAACGCUGGCGGAAUGCUUUACACAUGCAAGUCGAACGGCAGCACGGACUUCGGUCUGGUGGCGAGUGGCGAACGGGUGAGUAAUGUAUCGGAACGUGCCCAGUCGUGGGGGAUAACGUAGUGAAAAUUACGCUAAUACCGCAUACGCUCUAUGGAUGAAAGCGGGGGAUCGCCAGACCUCGCGCGAUUGGAGCGGCCGAAAUCAGAUUAGGUAGUUGGUGGGGUAAAGGCCCACCAAGCCAACGAUCUGUAGCUGGUCUGAGAGGACGACCAGCCACACUGGAACCGAGACACGGUCCAGACUCCUACGGGAGGCAGCAGUGGGGAAUUUUGGACAAUGGGCGAAAGCCUGAUCCAGCCAUUCCGCGUGCAGGAUGGAGGCCCUCGGGUUGUAAACUGCUUUUGUACAGAACGAAAAGGUUUCUACUAAUACUAGGAGCUCAUGACGGUACUGUAAGAAUAAGCACCGGCUAACUACGUGCCAGCCGCCGCCGUAA